GAUGAACGCUGGCGGCGUGCCUAAUACAUGCAAGUCGAACGAACAGACGAGGAGCUUGCUCCUCUGACGUUAGCGGCGGACGUGAGAGUAACACGUGUAUCACGUACCUAUAAGACUGGGAUCACUUCGGGAAACCGGCGCUAAUACCGGAUAAUAUAUUGAUCCGCAUGGUUCAAUAGUGAGAGUCGGUUUUGCUGUCUCUACUAGAUGGAUCCGCGCCGCAUUAGCUAGUUGGUACGGUCACGGCUUACCAAGGCGACGAUGCGUAGCCGACCUGAGAGAGGGAUCGGCCGCACGGGAACGGAGACACGCUCAAGACUCCUACGGGAGGCAGCAGUAGGGAAUGUGACGCAAUGGGCGAAGGCAUGACGGAGCAACGCGGCGUGAGUGAUGAAGGUCUUCGGAGCGUAAAACUCUGUUAUUAGGGAAGAACAAAUGUGUAAGUAACUAUGCACGUCGUGACGGUACCUAAUCAGAAAGCCACGGCUAACUACGUG
rnacentral:rRNA from 1 species